GCCGGCCUAGGUCAGCUGGUCGGACAGCUGAUUCGUACUUGGCGGUUCCGCGGUUCGCGUCCGCGCGCCGGCGCCA
rnacentral:tRNA from 1 species